rnacentral:rRNA from 1 species
AUUGAACGCUGGCGGCAUGCUUUACACAUGCAAGUCGAACGGCAGCGCGGGCUUCGGCCUGGCGGCGAGUGGCGAACGGGUGAGUAAUACAUCGGAACGUGCCCAGUAGUGGGGGAUAGCUCGGCGAAAGCCGGAUUAAUACCGCAUACGACCUGAGGGUGAAAGCGGGGGAUCUUCGGACCUCGCGCGAUUGGAGCGGCCGAUGGCAGAUUAGCUAGUUGGUGGGGUAAAGGCCUACCAAGGCGACGAUCUGUAGCUGGUCUGAGAGGACGACCAGCCACACUGGGACUGAGACACGGCCCAGACUCCUACGGGAGGCAGCAGUGGGGAAUUUUGGACAAUGGGCGAAAGCCUGAUCCAGCAAUGCCGCGUGUGUGAUGAAGGUCUUCGGGUUGUAAAGCACUUUUGGCGGGGACGAAAAGGACUGUGCCAAUACCACGGUUCGAUGACGGUACCCGCAGAAUAAGCACCGGCUAACUACGUG